UCUAUCAAUCAUCAAAUCAAUUAACUCAUUUAUAAUUAUAAUAAUUAAAAUAUUUUAAUUAUCGACUUUGCUCUAUAACAUUAUUAUACUACUGUGCGUUUGCUGUUUAUAGUUUAUUUAGUUAUCCAAUUUAUUAAAGUGUAGCGAAAACUGUGUCACGUAUAAUGUUUAAUAUUUGACAUAAAACUUUGUUUUAUUAUUUUUUUAUUGUAUAUAAGCGCCGGUGUAUACAAAGUACAAAGAAAAAAAAAGUUUAUAAAUAAAAAAUGCAGAAUAAAUGUUGACUAAAUAAAAAUAUAAACUCACAAGCGGUAGUUAUAUAGUGUUACAGUAGCUUUAGGUGAGUGAAAGAAUAAAAUAAAAAAAAGUAAAAAAAAACACAUAUUAUAAAGUAAAGGACAAACUUUGAAUGAAAAAUAGUGUUUGUUCAACGGUAUGAGAUUAAGAUAUUUUAAAUAACUUAAUAAUAUUGAGGAUAAUUAUAAAAGGCCUUGUUAUAUUAUACCGAGAGCCAGGUGAAUAUCGAUUUGAAAAUGCAUUUUUAAUGUUAUUAUUUCUCAUUGUUGAAAAAAAAAGUGAAUGAAAUAAUAGCAGGAAAGUGAAUAUUGAUUGGAUGAAUUUUAAUUUAAAAAUAAAAACACAAUUGUCGAGAUAUCCGUUUGAUAAAUGUAUCCAUGACCUCAUUAUUCAAUUGUGUUUGAGAAUCACUUUACAGAUUAUUCCACCUUCAGACAUCUGAACAUCUAUUGUUUCGCGGUACUAAAGUGUAGUGCUCAGACUUAAUCGUUCUGAAUGAAUGAGAGAAAUAAUAAUCGACUUUAAACUAUGAAGGAGAAGAAGAAAGCUGAAAAAUUGUUAGAAAAAAAAAAAAAAAAAAAAAAAAAAAAACAAGAAGAAGUAAUUAAAAAAGGUAAAAGUUUGUCAGCCACGACGUUUUUUCCUGUUUGAAUUAGCAUUGUAUUCACGAGUAGAUGGACUGUCAAGGGUCGGGCCAUUCUUUGAGAGGGAUUUCUGUUGAAGCUGAGAACUGCCGGGAAAGGCACAGCCAAUAGACAACAUAUAGAUACUGCAGAUUUGCUUCAUCCCCCGGGGAUCAAGGAUAAUAGACUAGAUCAUAUAUCUAUAUUUAUACUUUAUACAUAUAAAUGUGUAUACUAUUACUUAUAC